rnacentral:rRNA from 1 species
GCAAGUCGAGCGCAGUCCUUCGGGACCGAGCGGCGGACGGGUUAGUAACGCGUGGGAACAUACCCUUUUCUAAGGAAUAGCCUCUGGAAACGGAGAGUAAUACCAUAUACGCCCUUUGGGGGAAAGAUUUAUCGGAGAAGGAUUAGCCCGCGUUAGAUUAGGUAGUUGGUGGGGUAAUGGCCUACCAAGCCUACGAUCUAUAGCUGGUUUGAGAGGAUGAUC